AGAGUUUGAUCCUGGCUCAGGAUGAACGCUGGCGGCGUGCCUAAUACAUGCAAGUCGAGCGAACGGACGAGAAGCUUGCUUCUCUGAUGUUAGCGGCGGACGGGUGAGUAACACGUGGAUAACCUACCUAUAAGACUGGGAUAACUUCGGGAAACCGGAGCUAAUACCGGAUGAUAUUUUGAACCGCAUGGUUCAAAAGUGAAAGACGGUCUUGCUGUCACUUAUAGAUGGAUCCGCGCUGCAUUAGCUAGUUGGUAAGGUAACGGCUUACCAAGGCAACGAUGCAUAGCCGACCUGAGAGGGUGAUCGGCCACACUGGAACUGAGACACGGUCCAGACUCCUACGGGAGGCAGCAGUAGGGAAUCUUCCGCAAUGGGCGAAAGCCUGACGGAGCAACGCCGCGUGAGUGAUGAAGGUCUUCGGAUCGUAAAACUCUGUUAUUAGGGAAGAACAUAUGUGUAAGUAACUGUGCACAUCUUGACGGUACCUAAUCAGAAAGCCACGGCUAACUACGUGCCAGCAGCCGCGGUAAUACGUAGGUGGCAAGCGUUAUCCGGAAUUAUUGGGCGUAAAGCGCGCGUAGGCGGUUUUUUAAGUCUGAUGUGAAAGCCCACGGCUCAACCGUGGAGGGUCAUUGGAAACUGGAAAACUUGAGUGCAGAAGAGGAAAGUGGAAUUCCAUGUGUAGCGGUGAAAUGCGCAGAGAUAUGGAGGAACACCAGUGGCGAAGGCGACUUUCUGGUCUGUAACUGACGCUGAUGUGCGAAAGCGUGGGGAUCAAACAGGAUUAGAUACCCUGGUAGUCCACGCCGUAAACGAUGAGUGCUAAGUGUUAGGGGGUUUCCGCCCCUUAGUGCUGCAGCUAACGCAUUAAGCACUCCGCCUGGGGAGUACGACCGCAAGGUUGAAACUCAAAGGAAUUGACGGGGACCCGCACAAGCGGUGGAGCAUGUGGUUUAAUUCGAAGCAACGCGAAGAACCUUACCAAAUCUUGACAUCCUUUGACAACUCUAGAGAUAGAGCCUUCCCCUUCGGGGGACAAAGUGACAGGUGGUGCAUGGUUGUCGUCAGCUCGUGUCGUGAGAUGUUGGGUUAAGUCCCGCAACGAGCGCAACCCUUAAGCUUAGUUGCCAUCAUUAAGUUGGGCACUCUAAGUUGACUGCCGGUGACAAACCGGAGGAAGGUGGGGAUGACGUCAAAUCAUCAUGCCCCUUAUGAUUUGGGCUACACACGUGCUACAAUGGACAAUACAAAGGGCAGCGAAACCGCGAGGUCAAGCAAAUCCCAUAAAGUUGUUCUCAGUUCGGAUUGUAGUCUGCAACUCGACUACAUGAAGCUGGAAUCGCUAGUAAUCGUAGAUCAGCAUGCUACGGUGAAUACGUUCCCGGGUCUUGUACACACCGCCCGUCACACCACGAGAGUUUGUAACACCCGAAGCCGGUGGAGUAACCUUUUAGGAGCUAGCCGUCGAAGGUGGGACAAAUGAUUGGGGUGAAGUCGUAACAAGGUAGCCGUAUCGGAAGGUGCGGCUGGAUCACCUCC
rnacentral:rRNA from 4 species